rnacentral:rRNA from 1 species
GAAACCGGAGCUAAUACCGGAUAAUAUUUUGAACCGCAUGGUUCAAAAGUGAAAGACGGUCUUGCUGUCACUUAUAGAUGGAUCCGCGCUGCAUUAGCUAGUUGGUAAGGUAACGGCUUACCAAGGCAACGAUGCAUAGCCGACCUGAGAGGGUUAUCGGCCACACUGGAACUGAGACACGGUCCAG